rnacentral:rRNA from 1 species
CGCGUAGGCGGUUUAGCGAGUGUGAUGUGAAAGCCCGGGCUUAACCUGGGAAGUGCAUCGCAAACGGCUAGACUAGAGUAGAUGAGAGGGUGAUGGAAUUUCCGGUGUAGCGGUGAAAUGCGUAGAGAUCGGAAGGAACGUCGAUGGCGAAGGCAGUCACCUGGCAUCAUACUGACGCUGAGGCGCGAAAGCGUGGGGAGCAAACA